GGAGAUGUGGCUCAGUGGUAGAGCACACACCUUGCGUGUGUGAGGCACUGGGUUCAAUCCUCAGCACCA
rfam:Ictidomys tridecemlineatus contig004316, whole genome shotgun sequence.